UACGUAGGGUGCGAGCGUUAAUCGGAAUUACUGGGCGUAAAGCGUGCGCAGGCGGUUUUGUAAGUCUGUCGUGAAAUCCCCGGGCUUAACCUGGGAACUGCAUUCGAGACUGCAUUGCUAGAGUAUGGGAGAGGGAAGUGGAAUUUCCGGUGUAGCGGUGAAAUGCGUAGAUAUCGGAAGGAACAUCAGUGGCGAAAGCGACUUCCUGGACCAAUACUGACGCUCAUGUGCGAAAGCGUGGGGAGCAAACAGG
rnacentral:rRNA from 1 species